rnacentral:lncRNA from 1 species
AAACAUCAUGCUCAGUGUUUUAAUCAAACUUUAUCUCAAGCACAUGUCUCACAAAUUGGGAUUUUAUCAUCAUGCAUCAUCUCAACCUCAAUCAAACACUAGAAUCUCAUAAAGAAAACCAUCACACAAAAUAGAGCACAGUUGAAUCAAAGACGUUUAGUUCAAUUCAAGCAGAGCACAGUAAAAAUAACUAAAAAAAC